rnacentral:snRNA from 1 species
GGUGGAAUUCAUACAGAGAAGAUUAGCAUGGCCCCUGCACAAGGAUGACACACCAAUUCAGGAAGCAUUCCAUAUUUUU